rnacentral:misc_RNA from 1 species
AAGUCGUAACAAGGUUUCCGUAGGUGAACCUGCGGAAGGAUCAUUAAUGCUCUGACCUCUUGGGACAAGUUAUUGUUCUUUGAAGGCAGUUCUUAUAAACUCAAAAGGAGUCUGUUUUUUCGAAGCAGGCGUCUCUCUUCUCUUCGGAGAUGAAAGACAUAUGAGGCUGAUGAGGAAGGUUUUUCGAAGCCCUUUUCAAAACGCACACAGUCCUCGGUCCUUUGCAAAAUAAAAGUGAUGGUUUUCUGAAAAGGAUUUCAUUUAUCAACCACUAUUGAUACUAUUCUAAUUCUAAAAUUUACAUUAAAUUUCUGAACAAGAAAUCUUAACGUUAAAACAACUUUUGACAACGGAUCUCUUGGUUCUC